UUUUUUUUUUUUUUUUCUCUUUUCUCUCGCUCCUCCUCCGCUUCUACCUCCGACCAUGAUUGAAGCAGAGCGUAUAUUGCUCAACCAUGCAUUAGAGGAUCCUGUUAAUCAACCUUUACUUUUGUUUCUGAUGGCUGCAUCCCUCUGUCGAUUUCAACUGCCCAUGUUCCACUUCCCAAGUCGAGGUGCUAAAAAUCAAUUGGUUUCAGAAGCAAUCAAAUGGGAACGAUGACUGCGUUUCAAAAAAUUCAUACAAGAGACUCUUUUUUCUACGAUGCCUGGCAGCAAAUCAUCAAUUGGAAUUAGAUCAGGCUUACGUUUAGGUUCAAUAAUCUGAAUCGAGUGAUGUGUUUAUAUGAGAAGGAAUUGAUUCAGGUGCAUUUUUGUGAGAAACUUCAUGAUUUUUCAAGAGUGAAUGCAUGCAGGAGAGAAGACUACCUUGCACAACACAGAGAUGUAAUUGAUUAUGGAGAGGCUUUUGUCAUGCGUGGUUUGAUUAAUGUAAAAGAUAUGUUAAAUUCUCUAUCUAGCCUAUUUACACAUAGAUUUAGAGAUUAAUCACAGUUUUAGUAAGUUGAAUUUAACUUUCGUUAUAAGGAUGCAAAUGUGUAUGGAUAUACUACAUUACCACAACAUGGGAUUCUAUAUUUACCCCUGAUUGAUAUAAAAUAUGCUGAGUUUUGGUUUUUUCUUAAAAA